rnacentral:rRNA from 1 species
UACGUAGGGGGCAAGCGUUGUCCGGAAUCAUUGGGCGUAAAGAGCGCGUAGGCGGUCCGGUAAGUCCGCUCUGAAAGUCCAGGGCUCAACCCUGGAAUGCCGGUGGAAACUGUCGGGCUGGAGUCCGGAAGAGGCGAGUGGAAUUCCAGGUGUAGCGGUGAAAUGCGUAGAUAUCUGGAGGAACACCGGUGGCGAAGGCGGCAUCCUGGACCGGUAUUGACGCUGAGGCGCGAAAGCUAGGGGAGCAAACGGG